GAGUAAUAAAAAACGAGAGAAAGGCUGCAUACCUCUUGCCAUGGAGCCGUAGCAGUACCAGAUUCACCCUACACGCAUAUGCAUAAUGCAUCAUCAAAUUAUUUUUGUUGAAAGAUUUGUCUAUUUUUUU